rnacentral:rRNA from 1 species
UACAGAGGUCUCAAGCGUUGUUCGGAUUCAUUGGGCGUAAAGGGUGCGUAGGUGGCGGGGUAAGUCUGGUGUGAAAUCUCGGGGCUCAACCCCGAAACUGCACUGGAUACUGCCUUGCUUGAGUACUGGAGAGGAGAUUGGAAUUUACGGUGUAGCAGUGAAAUGCGUAGAUAUCGGGAGGAACACCUAUGGCGAAAGCAGGUCUCUGGGCCAUCACUGACGCUGAGCUGCGAAAGCUAGGGGAGCAAACAGG